UUCAAUUUUUAUUCGGCUCGUGUUCCACACCAUCAAGCCUGUCCCCAGUGAGAGCAAGAUUCUCACUAUGGCCCACACUCUCUUGGAUGCUCGACUAUGGCGGGUGAAUGCUCCAGUGAGAGUGCGACGCAGUAUAACGCAGUUGAAUGAUCCUGUUGCUGUGCAGGAUAUUACUUAUCAGAUACUAUCCAACAGUUCCUUUGCCUUGGCACUGCGAUAUCAGAUAAACAACGUGAGCAUGCCAGAACUCACUGAACUCAGGACCGAGACGUACAAACUCAUCCAGGACUCCAUUAACAACCUGCUGAACCAAAUUCUGACACAACCUGAUGCAAAUCCUUCCAUCUUUCCACAAGCAAGUUUUACGUAAGUCCCAAACCUUGUAUGACUUCAUGAUGAUUAAAAAGAAAACUGUUCUGACAAAUAUGAAUGGAGGCAAUUUGAAAAUGAGCGCAUAGCAAGUUUGCUCAGCAAACACUUUCUGCAUCCAACAAAAGG